UGAGUUGAGGUCUUCAAUAAGUUCCACAGCUAAUUUAGAGCCUUUUUUUUCUAUCUUUUACUAUUUAAACUCCAAAUUUUGUCUCUUUUCAUAUCGGAUGUGGCAUAGCGUGAGUUUGUAACUAAACAAGUGAUUAGGAUGUGUGAUAGAGCUGAAUUCGAGUGGGUAAGGGUAUUUUUGAAAUCGGAUUUGAGAUGACUAAAAGUGUUAUGUGACAAUAAAAAACGCUUUUGACUAUGUUUGACAGAAAAAUUUAAAUGUUUACGGGUCAUGAAAUGCUUUUAGGAGAAACACAUGUUGUGAACUUCCUUUGGAAAAAUCCCUCCUUGUAUUAUAAAUUGUUACGUGCUUAUAAUAAAAAGCAUUUCUAGCAGAAACGCUUAUGACUAGAAGUACUUUUGACAUAAAAAGCCAAAAACACUUUGUAAAAGCGCUAUCCUUUGUUGACAACCGUUUGAUGUGCGAGGUGAAUUAUUUAUGCCCUAAGUUACUCGGGUUAGUAAGCCAUUAUUUCAUCAAUGAUGCAUAGCAAAUGAGUGAAUUCCAAAACCUAUUUACCAAAAGGAACAAGAGAGGAGGUAAAUUCCCAAGUAAAACUAGUAAUUACCAGUUAUGAUAAUCAGCUUCUUUCAUAAUUUAGUGACUCACUAAGUGAGAUUUGAGCAGCAUUU
rnacentral:lncRNA from 1 species